rnacentral:rRNA from 1 species
GACGAACGCUGGCGGCGUGCCUAAUACAUGCAAGUUGAGCGAUGAAGAUUGGUGCUUGCUCCAAUUUGAAGAGCAGCGAACGGGUGAGUAACGCGUGGGGAAUCUGCCUUUGAGCGGGGGACAACAUUUGGAAACGAAUGCUAAUACCGCAUAAUAACUUUAAACAUAAGUUUUAAGUUUGAAAGAUGCAAUUGCAUCACUCAAAGAUGAUCCCGCGUUGUAUUAGCUAGUUGGUGAGGUAAAGGCUCACCAAGGCGAUGAUACAUAGCCGACCUGAGAGGGUGAUCGGCCCCAUUGGGACUGAGACACGGCCCAAACUCCUACGGGAGGCAGCAGUAGGGAAUCUUCGGCAAUGGACGAAAGUCUGACCGAGCAACGCCGCGUGAGUGAAGAAGGUUUUCGGAUCGUAAAACUCUGUUGGUAGAGAAGAACGUUGGUGAGAGUGGAAAGCUCAUCAAGUGACGGUAACUACCCAGAAAGGGACGGCUAACUACGUG